GCCUCCCCAAAGCCCAGCAGAUUGAGAAUGAAACAAGAACAUUCACUAUGUGAACUAGAAACAGGAGAGGAUAUUCUGGCUCAUCAAGCAUGGAUAGCAGCAGGAAAUCUCCAGUUUUGGUCUGUGGGGACUUGGUGAGACAGACCAAAGUAGGAGGAAAAUGGUAGACCCAUGGCACAAAAUUGAGUGUCGUCUUAUGCUGAAGAUGUGAUGAACAAAAAAAGGAAAGAAGAAAAGAAGGGAACACAGAUAGCAAGCAGCAAGUGAAUGGAAUACUGCACAUCUACCUAGCCAGCAAGGGGCGCUCUCAGGAGCCUAUACCAGGACCCCUGAGUCCCAGCCUGCAGUGUCACAUACUGCCCCACUCCGCUGCCAGCGUUACUGCUGCAGUAAUCCUUUACCCUCUUCCUCCUGUCUCUGUUAUCCACUCACCUUACUUCUAUUCAUUCAAGUUCAUAAGCCUGCAUUUUGGGACCCUGGCAGUAAGCACCUGCAAGCACUAAUGAAGGCAACAAUUCAUAACCAAGAUUGUCCUUCAGAAUCGUCUAAAGGAUUUCAGUACACACGUGGACCAGAAGUCCAAGCCAGAGCUCCCAGAGAAGAAUUUUCAAGCACCCCCCUCCCACAAAAGUGGUGAGAGUAUCAUAGAAUAAAUCAUCACCAGCUGCGCACCCGCGACCUCAGCACAUGCGCCGGAAUCCCUCCGCGCGUGUCUUGCGCACCCGCCACGCAGCUCGGAACUUUACUCCAGUACUGAGAGCCGAAGACUUGGCACCGACUUUGAGGAGAAUCCACUCCCGAAGAGCGUAGGGGGCCCAAGCGGCAGGAUGGUGACCCCUUCCUUCCUGAAAUUGUCUCCCUCAGCAGAGGACUGUGACACCAAGAUGAAUUUAAUGAAAUUCCGCGAGGUACUGGGAAAAAAAAAUACUCUCUUUUGAGGAAACACUGUGCAUGAGGAGCAUAGAGGAGAAGGCGUGAACGUUUCAAGGAAGCUGAAACUAAGGUGCACCUGGAAGGGAGGAUGUCCUUAACUAGCAAAGGGUAAGGAAGUUCUUUUCAGCUUCAUAUUCCUUUCUCCUUUUGCUAGAGCUAAACUUGUUAAAUUAUAUGAGUUUUCAGAUAACGCUUUGGAAAGCAAAAUCUUAAGUAUUUUAACGAAGUUCAUUCUGCUACAGUCAACUCAUGUUUUGUUGUUUAAUUGGAAAGUACUUCUGACAUAGCUAAUCCAAAACUCUCAUUAAAUACCGGCAGUAAAAGCUUUAAUGCCAAUCAUGCAGAAACUAUGUGGAUAUGACAAAUUGUUUUUAAUUAUCAUAUAAACAUAUUAAAGCAAAAUUUCAU
rnacentral:lncRNA from 1 species